ACGGGUGAGUAACACGUGGGCAAUCUGCCCUUCACUCUGGGACAAGCCCUGGAAACGGGGUCUAAUACCGGAUACCACUUCCACUCGCAUGGGUGGGGGUUGAAAGCUCCGGCGGUGAAGGAUGAGCCCGCGGCCUAUCAGCUUGUUGGUGAGGUAACGGCUCACCAAGGCGACGACGGGUAGCCGGCCUGAGAGGGCGACCGGCCACACUGGGACUGAGACACGGCCCAGACUCCUACGGGAGGCAGCAGUGGGGAAUAUUGCACAAUGGGCGAAAGCCUGAUGCAGCGACGCCGCGUGAGGGAUGACGGCCUUCGGGUUGUAAACCUCUUUCAGCAGGGAAGAAGCGAAAGUGACGGUACCUGCAGAAGAAGCGCCGGCUAACUACGUGCCAGCAGCCGCGGUAAUACGUAGGGCGCAAGCGUUGUCCGGAAUUAUUGGGCGUAAAGAGCUCGUAGGCGGUCUGUCGCGUCGGAUGUGAAAGCCCGGGGCUUAACCCCGGGUCUGCAUUCGAUACGGGCAGACUAGAGUGUGGUAGGGGAGAUCGGAAUUCCUGGUGUAGCGGUGAAAUGCGCAGA
rnacentral:rRNA from 24 species